rnacentral:tRNA from 1 species
GCCCGUGUGGUGAAAUGGUAGACACAGUUGACUCAAAAUCAACCGAAGAAAUUCAUGCUGGUUCGAGUCCAGUCACGGGCACCA